UACGGAGGGUGCAAGCGUUAAUCGGAAUUACUGGGCGUAAAGCGCACGCAGGCGGUCUGUCAAGUCGGAUGUGAAAUCCCCGGGCUCAACCUGGGAACUGCAUCCGAAACUGGCAGGCUAGAGUCUUGUAGAGGGGGGUAGAAUUCCAGGUGUAGCGGUGAAAUGCGUAGAGAUCUGGAGGAAUACCGGUGGCGAAGGCGGCCCCCUGGACAAAGACUGACGCUCAGGUGCGAAAGCGUGGGGAGCAAAC
rnacentral:rRNA from 1 species